rnacentral:rRNA from 1 species
UACGAAGGGGGCUAGCGUUGCUCGGAAUCACUGGGCGUAAAGGGUGCGUAGGCGGGUUUUUAAGUCAGGGGUGAAAUCCUGGAGCUCAACUCCAGAACUGCCUUUGAUACUGAAGAUCUUGAGUUCGGGAGAGGUGAGUGGAACUGCGAGUGUAGAGGUGAAAUUCGUAGAUAUUCGCAAGAACACCAGUGGCGAAGGCGGCUCACUGGCCCGAUACUGACGCUGAGGCACGAAAGCGUGG